rnacentral:lncRNA from 1 species
CAAGAGAAAAAAAAUCAUAUAUUGGAUAAAUUGUUGGAUUACAAUAGUGGAUAUUACAGGAGGAACAUCAUCCAAUUGUGAUGCAUAAUCUUAAUAUUUUCUUGACAACGAAACUUAAACCGCAUGCAUCCAUCAACAUCCCUACAAGUUAAACUAAAACUUGACCAAGGAACAUCAUCCAACAAUAACAACAUCCCUACAACUUAACUAAACUGAAAGCAUCCGUCAUCAUCAUCAUGAACCGGAACAUUAUCAUCAUCAUUGUAUACUUGCCACACACUCAUGUAAUCAUCCAUACAUCUUUUGAAUCUACAAAGAAAAUAACAAAUGAAAUGUUAACACAAAAUGCAUUGACAUGAUGCAAUUAGUGAUAGAUGCGGGAUAUUAGUCACAUAUAAAGGUUGAAAGCCGUGCCAUCUUUGUUUUUCUUGCGUGGGCAAGUUAUUUUGCUAUAACUAUAAAGGUACUAUAUUAUCAUAUAUUGUAUUCUAAAAUUUAUUGGAACAAAAUAUACAUCAUAAAUUUGAGAAUCUACUUAUGAUAUUGUAUGUUAGUAUGUUACUAAAAAGACUAUAAAUUUCUUCCUAUGUCCUCCUUAUUGAACAAAGAAGUCUUUCUAAAUUGUGUAAGAACAUAACAUACAUGUACUGGUAAACGAAUCAUAUACAUUCUCUAAUGCCCAUUUCAUCAAUCUACCAAACAACAAAAUACUUGAAAGGGGCAAGGUAAAGCCAUGAUACAGGGCUAAAGUUCACUAUGGACAUGUAUAUAGUUUGGAUAUUCAUCAUGCUUCAGAGUUUGCUUCCAAACCAAAAAAUCAAACAACACAUAAAAUUGGUAUCAAUAAUAUUAGGUAUUUGUGCAAAGAAUUUAUCACAACACAGAAAGGUUUCAAAGAGAACACAUAAAAAUAGUUCCCAUGCCCAGAUGUGCAGCUGCCAGCAAAAGUGAAACAAUGUGCCAGCAAAGCCCAUUCUCAUUUAUGGUGUUCUUAUUGUUCACGAAAACAACAGUAGGUAUGAAAAACUAUACUAUUCCAAAGGCUCAGAAUUUUCGAAAGUCAUGGUUUUCUCUUUCCGUGAACUGUAUAGACCAAGUACAUACCCAUGUUAUCAAAUGAUGGUAGCGAUGAACACAAUGAAAAAGGGUUAAUGAAAAAUACAAAAAAUAAAUUUACCUGAUGAAAGAACACCAGGACGAAGUCAAAGAUAUAUUCACAAUCUAAUUGUGAAACAGAUAAAUUCACAAUAUAAUUGCAGAGUCGUAGGACCUGAAAUAGGUCAGAUGUUCCAAGUUAGAAUAAAAGCCAAUAUGAUGUCCGCAGAAUAAUAUAAUGACAAGUAUCAUACUAACUAGCUGUUCUGAUAAUGUGAUUGAGCUUUAUAUCUUAGCAUUCGCAGUGUCAUGGAGUAAUUCUCUGCUAUGAAACCUGCAUGCUCCUUCCGCUUGUGUCUGUACACUAAAAUGUUGAAGCAUCUUCCAUCAGAUGACCACUGAUUCAAACCAUAGUGAUUUCUGAAAUGAAGUAUUAGCCCCUGUGUACCAUCUAGAUAUAACACUGGAUAUCGUCCAGAUUAUAAGUAAUUCACCACAAACUCGUGGUUAGAAAAUGAUUCAAUCUAAGUAAUGUGUGUGUGCGCGCGCGCACGUGUGCGUGUGCAUGUGCGUGUGUUGCGUCUGUGUGUGUGUAGCUAUAACUUUGACUUAACAAUUGUGAUAUACAUGGAUUAAAUGAAGAUAUUGUCAAAGAAAUCUAUAAAAUUGAAUUAUUUUAAGAAAAUAAAUGCUUAAACAAGAAUAUUUUUUGGUAACUAGGCGACAUUUCACUACACAUGCAAUAGGCAUACAAACGUGCAGCAAAAGAGAUUCAGUUACACAACCUAUGCCCAACAACCCUGGCCAGUGGCGUGAGGUUAUCAAAUCCAUAGAGAUAUAAAGUCUUUGAGGUUUCCUUUAAAUACUCACUUAGAAAAACAUGAUUCACUAAAGAAGAAGAAAUCGCUGGCAUCAACUGUCAGCCUUUUUUUGAGAGAGACAACACCAACACGU